GACGAACGCUGGCGGCGCGCCCAACACAUGCAAGUCCAACGGAACUUAAAAAACUUGGUUUUUAAGCUUAAUGGCCAACGGGUGAAUAACGCGUGAGUAACCUGCCCUAAAGUGGGGGACAACAGUUGGAAACGACUGCUAAUACCGCAUAAGCCCACGGUGCCGCAUGACACUGAGGGAAAAGGAUUUAUUCGCUUUAGGAUGGACUCGCGUCCAAUUAGCUAGUUGGUGAGGUAACGGCCCACCAAGGCGACGAUUGGUAGCCGGACUGAGAGGUUGAACGGCCACAUUGGGACUGAGACACGGCCCAGACUCCUACGGGAGGCAGCAGUGGGGGAUAUUGCACAAUGGGGGAAACCCUGAUGCAGCGACGCCGCGUGGAGGAAGAAGGUUUUCGGAUUGUAAACUCCUGUCGUUAGGGACGAUAAUGACGGUACCUAACAAGAAAGCACCGGCUAACUACGUGCCAGCAGCCGCGGUAAAACGUAGGGUGCAAGCGUUGUCCGGAAUUACUGGGUGUAAAGGGAGCGCAGGCGGGAAGACAAGUUGGAAGUGAAAACCAUGGGCUCAACCCAUGAAUUGCUUUCAAAACUGUUUUUCUUGAGUAGUGCAGAGGUAGAUGGAAUUCCCGGUGUAGCGGUGGAAUGCGUAGAUAUCGGGAGGAACACCAGUGGCGAAGGCGGUCUACUGGGCACCAACUGACGCUGAGGCUCGAAAGCAUGGGUAGCAAACAGGAUUAGAUACCCUGGUAGUCCAUGCCGUAAACGAUGAUUACUAGGUGUUGGGGGAUUGACCCCCUCAGUGCCGCAGUUAACACAAUAAGUAAUCCACCUGGGGAGUACGACCGCAAGGUUGAAACUCAAAGGAAUUGACGGGGGCCCGCACAAGCAGUGGAGUAUGUGGUUUAAUUCGAAGCAACGCGAAGAACCUUACCAGGUCUUGACAUCCGAUGCAUAGCACAGAGAUGUGUGAAAUCCUUCGGGACAUCGAGACAGGUGGUGCAUGGUUGUCGUCAGCUCGUGUCGUGAGAUGUUGGGUUAAGUCCCGCAACGAGCGCAACCCUUAUUGCCAGUUACUACGUUAAGAGGACUCUGGCGAGACUGCCGUUGACAAAACGGAGGAAGGUGGGGAUGACGUCAAAUCAUCAUGCCCUUUAUGACCUGGGCCACACACGUACUACAAUGGCGUUAAACAAAGAGAAGCAAGACCGCGAGGUGGAGCAAAACUCAAAAACAACGUCUCAGUUCAGAUUGCAGGCUGCAACUCGCCUGCAUGAAGUCGGAAUUGCUAGUAAUCGCGGAUCAGCAUGCCGCGGUGAAUACGUUCCCGGGCCUU
rnacentral:rRNA from 1 species